rnacentral:rRNA from 1 species
CAGUAGCCGCGGUAAUACAGAGGGUGCGAGCGUUAAUCGGAUUUACUGGGCGUAAAGCGUGCGUAGGCGGCUAAUUGAGUCGGAUGUGAAAUCCCUGAGCUUAACUUAGGAAUUGCAUUCGAUACUGGGAAGCUAGAGUAUGGGAGAGGAUGGUAGAAUUCCAGGUGUAGCGGUGAAAUGCGUAGAGAUCUGGAGGAAUACCGAUGGCGAAGGCAGCCAUCUGGCCUAAUACUGACGCUGAGGUACGAAAGCAUGGGGAGCAAACAGGAUUAGAUACCCGCGUAGUCCCUGUCUCUUAUAC